rnacentral:rRNA from 1 species
GACGAACGCUGGCGGCGUGCUUAACACAUGCAAGUCGAACGGAAAGGCCCUGCUUUUGUGGGGUGCUCGAGUGGCGAACGGGUGAGUAACACGUGAGUAACCUGCCCUUGACUUUGGGAUAACUUCAGGAAACUGGGGCUAAUACCGGAUAGGAGCUCCUGCCGCAUGGUGGGGGUUGGAAAGUUUCGGCGGUUGGGGAUGGACUCGCGGCUUAUCAGCUUGUUGGUGGGGUAGUGGCUUACCAAGGCUUUGACGGGUAGCCGGCCUGAGAGGGGGACCGGCGACAUGGGGAAGGAGAGAGGGAGAAGAAGCGUACGGGCGGCAGGGGGGGGGAGCGGGGCGCAGUGGGGGGGAGCGGGAGAGGGCAGCGCCGGGUGCGGGAUGACGGCCGAGGGGUGAAAAACCACUGGGGCAGGUGACGAAGCGUGAGUGACGGUAAUGAAUAAGGAAGCACCGGCUAACGACGUG